GUGGUCCUCAUUAUGCAAACAACCUUCCUGCUGGUGAAUAUAAACACGGUGCAAAGAGAAGCUCAGUCAGAUCCUCUUCAUCAUCAUCUUCAUCAUGUUCUCUGUAGCUCUGCUGCUGGUGGCUGCUGCAUCCUGUGUGAAGUGUGAACAGCUGACUCAGCCAGCCUCUGUGACUGUGCAGCCAGGUCAGCGUCUGACCAUCAGCUGUCAGGUCUCUUAUUCUCUCACCAGCUCCAGGACACACUGGAUCAGACAGCCUGCAGGAAAAACACUGGAAUAUAUCUGUAGUGCACAUAUUGGAUAUGUCACAUACUUCAAAGAUUCUCUCAAAAACAAGUUCAGCAUUAAUUUAGACUCUUCCAGUAAAACAGUGACUCUGAACGGACAGAACUUGCAGCCUGAAGACUCUGCUGUGUAUUACUGUGCCAGAGAGCCACAGUGA